rnacentral:lncRNA from 1 species
UUGGAGUUUCGACGGUCCAUUCAGAAUAGUGUUGGGUCGGAGAGAAUACGUGGCGAUCUCCACCGUCCUGGCUAAGACAAGACUUGGCUCCGUUCAACAACAAAUCCCCUUCCGAUCUUACGAACCCAGCUCCAGGUUUCUCUUUAUCCGCAGCCUAAUCACCAAAACCAAAAUAAACAUAUAACGCUGAUUAGCACCUUAUUCCCAAAAAAAAGAAGAAAAUAACUUAAGAACCUAAUUAAAAAAUACAAACUAGAUUACCUUCUCAGUGAUGUACUUAAAGACGGUCUUCUUCUCAGCAGCUUCAUAUAUGUUACACUGAGAAUAUAUCUAUCAAAACAACAUAAAAAUGUAUGAGAAAACAUAUAUACGAACUGAGAUGAUGGGAUAAUCGUAAAAUAAUUAUGUUCAUCUAGGUUAAAUUCCUGUUACGGACCUGAGAUUCGACGCCGGCCCCAACGGCGUAAAUGGACCAGUGACGAGUGUAGUUGUUGAAGAGAUGGACUUUUGCGAAGCGA